CCGGAAGCCGUUGGAGAACAACUCGUCGUCGACAUCGUCGUCGAACAGGUUCGGCUACGCACGGUACCGGUGGAGGUACGGCGGGGACGGCUACGAGUCUAAGCUCCCACCUCGGGCUCGGAGGUGACCUCGUACCUAGUCGGCACGUCCUCCACCUCGAGGCGUACCUAGUGCUGAACCAGCAGCACCCCCGGACCUGGUAGUUCGAGCGCCCGCUCUACCUGCUGGAGCCGUUGCCUCCGCGCGCACUCUAGGACCCCAAUUGGUUAGGUGCCCCGCGGUCUAGAAGGGAGCCCCAGCG
rnacentral:rRNA from 1 species